ensembl:lncRNA
CUUUUAUUGUGUUGAUGAGUCAUCAUGUAAAUGAAUGUUAAACAUAUGUAUUUUGAGCAAGAGAUGAACCCUUUUCAUAGGUGUUAGAUCAGCACUGUGGAUGAUCCUUCGAAGUUAUAAAUGCUGGGAAACUUUCUGUUAAGCUUAAAGGAGAGUUGAAUUCACUGAUUGCGCCUUGUUUUUUCCCCCUCCUCAUUAAGAAAUGUAACUGUUGAAACCGGUUCAAACGCUGUCCCAUGUUAGUGGACAUGUGGGCAUGAUUGAAAUCCAAACCCAUCCCUCAAAUAUUCAAUAUAUACAAAUCUCACAAAAUAUUAGUUUAGGAAAAUACUGAAUUUAUGACCAAAGUUAUCCUACUUACACUUUUUUAGUAAAUUGUGGGACUAGAAUUAAUGUUAAUAACCACAACCACAACCACAGCCUUUGUCAACCAGAGAAGUCUUUUUUUUUGUUGGUUCAGUUGCUCUUUUAACAAUUUGAAAACCCUCAACAGUUUUUCUACUCUUGAGGUCCCUUGUACGUUGUGGAUGGGAGUGUUAACAAUGACAGUGCAUUUCUCAAUAUCUGCUUCAGUUACAGGCCCACCUAAAUUCAGCAGAAACACAGUAUCAAGAAUACGCUCAUUAACACCCUUGGAAACAAUUGGGCGGCUCCUUGCUUCGUUGAUAAGAAACAGCUUUCACAGUUGGCAAUGGGUGUACAUGUUUCUUGACACUGUACACGCAACAACUAUGAAGAACAAGCAUCUUAAAAGGAAUAUGUAGGGAAUAAAGAAAAUAUAACUACAGAUGUGGAGGUUGACAUAUUUAGACACUUGCGUUUGACAGUUUACCACACCCAUUAUGCAAACAUAUAAUGUUUUUGUCUUUGCCUCCCCUAUAGCUUUAAUUCACUUUAAUUAGUGUUGUUUUUCAUGUUCAUGUUGUAGUUGCGGUACUGUUUCAUGAGGCACCUGCAUGUCGUUUCAAAGCUGUUCGCUUUGUUGUUGUGUUUUUUUUCUACUCCUUUGUUGUUGUGUUUUUUUUCUACUCCUUUGUUGUUGUGUUUUUUUUCUACUCCUUUGUUGUUGUUUUUUUUCUACUCCUUUGUUGUUGUGUUUUUUUUCUACUCCUUUGUUGUUGUUUUUUUUCUACUCCUUUGUUGUUGUGUUUUUUUUUCUACUCCUUUGUUGUUGUGUUUUUUUCUACUCCUUUGUUGUUGUGUUUUUUUUUCUACUCCUUUGUUGUUGUUGUUUUUUUCUACUCCUUUGUUGUGUUUUUUUCUACUCCUUUGUUGUUGUGUUUUUUUCUACUCCUUUGUUGUUGUGUUUUUUUCUACUCCUUUGUUGUUGUGUUUUUUUCUACUCCUUUGUUGUUGUGUUUUUUUCUACUCCUUUGUUGUUGUUUUUUUUUUCUACUCCUUUGUUGUUGUUUUUUUUCUACUCCUUUGUUGUUGUGUUUUUUUUCUACUCCUUUGUUGUUGUGUUUUUUUUCUACUCCUUUGUUGUUGUGUUUUUUUUCUACUCCUUUGUUGUAAGCGGAUAUCUGCAACAGGCUCCCGCCUUGGCCUAUUCUGAAUGAGUGGUUGUGUAUGGAUAAAUACAUCAGGGUCACACUUCAUUUGGACAGUCCGGAUUUCCCAUCUGUAGAUGCUCUAAAGAUGGUCAUACUAUCAACAAACUAUCUGUCGGUUAUGCAACUGCUUGCUAAGUUUACGGUUAGGGUCAGGUUAGGAUUAGAGCUAGGGUGGGGGUUAGGUUUAGGAGAUAGUUACAGUAGUUGAAAUGUUACUGAUCGUCUGUAGAUAGUCCAUCUGUAGAUGCUCUACAGACUAUCCAAAUAAAGUGUUACCAGAAUCACUUCCCAAAUAUAUGAUCCUCUUUGAGGCAUCCCGAGCGGCACAGCGGUCUAAGGCACUGUUAGAGGCGUCACCACAAGACCCUGGCUUGUUCCCAGUAUGUGUCACAACCAUCCGUGAUCGGGAGUCCCAUAGGGCGGCGCACAAUUGGCCCAGCGUUGUCUGGGUUAGUGGAGGGUUUGGCCGGGGGGGGCUGUCAUUGUAAAUAAAAAAAUAUUAUUUUUUACUCAAGUGCCUUACACCACUGCGAAUAAAUCCUCGAUAUGAUAGUUGACCUAUUUUUCAUUCUGUUUGCUGCUUGAGGUGUUCUCACCCUAAAACAGGGAUAUAAAACAUUGCUGUUUUAACUGGCUUUCCCUAAGCUGCACCCCUUUCUCCAACUGAAAAAAAAAAAUACAACACAACUGCUUCCCCCAUUUCUCCAUUAAACGAGGCUGUUUGCAUGAUUUCAGAAGUUCAUUAGGGAUGAAUGGCUCCCCCUCUCUGGGCCUUGGGAGAAGGAGUGGUGACAGUGCACACAAAAGAUAAAGGGGAGCGAGGGUGAAUGGCCCUGGCCAAGUGGGUGGCUUUAGAGAAUUCCAGGGAUGUCUCUGACUACUUGCCAAGCCUGGGGGUGGGGAGAGAGAGAGGGAGAGAGAGAGAGAAUCUAUGGCAGAGGGGACCACAUUGUUUAUCUCAUCAGAACCUGUGUGUUUACAGUCUCUGUUUCACUCAGGGGAGGAAGACCAGAGAGAGCAGAACAGCCCAUUGUUUCCAUCAUAAUGUCUAAGGGGCAGUGUGAUCCCAUUGUCACUGUUAGAUUCUCCAAUUGAGUUUUUAUCCAUCGAAAUGUAAAAGGCAGAAAGAUUGAUCAUGAACAUUCUACUUGUGAGGGUCAUGGCAUGAGAUUCUAUAGCAUCAACAUUUGUGGAACAGGAAAGAUAGUUUUGUUGAUUAAAUAGUUCUAUAACAUAAUCAAAUCAGAUGUUCUAUAGAUUUUAUUGAACC